rnacentral:rRNA from 1 species
AGUGAACGCUGGCGGUAGGCCUAACACAUGCAAGUCGAACGGCAGCACAGUAAGAGCUUGCUCUUACGGGUGGCGAGUGGCGGACGGGUGAGGAAUACAUCGGAAUCUACUUUUUCGUGGGGGAUAACGUAGGGAAACUUACGCUAAUACCGCAUACUACCUACGGGUGAAAGCAGGGGAUCUUCGGACCUUGCGCGAUUGAAUGAGCCGAUGUCGGAUUAGCUAGUUGGCGGGGUAAAGGCCCACCAAGGCGACGAUCCGUAGCUGGUCUGAGAGGAUGAUCAGCCACACGGGAACGGAGACACGGUCCAGACUCCUACGGGAGGCAGCAGUGGGGAAUAUUGGACAAUGGGCGCAAGCCUGAUCCAGCCAUACCGCGUGGGUGAAGAAGGCCUUCGGGUUGUAAAGCCCUUUUGUUGGGAAAGAAAAGCAGCAGGUUAAUACCCCGCUGUUCUGACGGUACCCAAAGAAUAAGCACCGGCUAACUUCGUG